UGAGCAACCUGCCCUUGACUCUGGAAUAACAGUUGGAAACAGUUGCUAAUACCGGAUAUGACCUUGUGCGACAUCACACGAGGUGGAAAGCUCCGGCGGUCAAGGGUGGGCUCGCGGCCUAUCAGCUUGUUGGUGAGGUAACGGCUCACCAAGGCUUCGACGGGUAGCCGGCCUGAGAGGGCGACCGGCCACACUGGGACUGAGACACGGCCCAGACCUCCUACGGGAGGNAGCG
rnacentral:rRNA from 1 species